rnacentral:rRNA from 1 species
UUAAAAAGCUCGUAGUUGAACCUUGGGCCUGGCUGGCCGGUCCGCCUCACCGCGUGCACUGGUUCGGCCGGGCCUUUCCCUCUGGGGAACCUCAUGCCCUUCACUGGGUGUGAUGGGGAACCAGGACUUUUACUGUGAAAAAAUUAGAGUGUUCAGAGCAGGCCUAUGCUCGAAUACAUUAGCAUGGAAUAAUAGAAUAGGACGUGUGGUUCUAUUUUGUUGGUUUCUAGGACCGCCGUAAUGAUUAAUAGGGACAGUCGGGGG